UGAGCAAUCUGCCCUUCUCAUCGGAAUAAGCGUUGGAAACGACGUCUAAUGCCGAAUACGACCUCCUUUCGCAUGAUCGGAGGUGGAAAGCUCCGGCGGUGAAGGAUGAGCUCGCGGCCUAUCAGCUUGUUGGUGAGGUAAUAGCUCACCAAGGCGAUGACGGGUAGCCGGCCUGAGAGGGUGACCGGCCACACGUGGGACUGAGACACGGGCCCGGACUCCCGUAGGGAGG
rnacentral:rRNA from 1 species